rnacentral:rRNA from 1 species
CCUACGGGUGGCAGCAGUCGGGAAUUUUGGGCAAUGGGGGCAACCCUGACCCAGCAACGCCGCGUGAGCGAUGAAGGCCUUCGGGUCGUAAAGCUCUGUCGGGAGGGAAGAAGGCUCUCGGGGUGAAUAAUCCCGGGGGAUUGACGGUACCUCCAAAGGAAGCGCCGGCUAACUCCGUGCCAGCAGCCGCGGUAAUACGGAGGGCGCAAGCGUUGUUCGGAAGCUUGGUGCGUAAAGUGCGAAAGGGCGGGGCCUAACCCCGGAACGGCACUCGAAACUGCCUCGCUAGAGUCUCGGAGAGGGUGGUGGAAUUCCCGGUGUAGUGGUGAAAUACGUAGAUAUCGGGAGGAACACCAGCGGCGAAGGCGGCCACCUGGACGAUGACUGACGCUGAGACGCGAAAGCGUGGGGAGCAAACAGGAUUAGAUACCCUAGUAGUC